CGUACGCCGGAAGUGCCGGAACUACGCCGGAACGUCCGCAGGCGUUCACAGGGAGCGUGGCAAGCUGCGGAGCAGGAUGUCCCUGAGGUGCCUGGCCGGCCUGCGCCCAGCCGCCUGCUCCCCCAGGCCGGCUGCCAAGGCGCUGAGAGAGCUCGGCUAUGAACACCCGCGCCUUACAGCUCAGCCCGUUGAGUAACCCCGUGACUCUUUUUCGAGCCCCGCGUUGGUGGGUGCCACGGGCGGCUGCGCACUUCGCCUCCAUUGGCGUGGCUUAGGCGGCAGAGCUGGGCUUAGAUCCUGCGGCGUGGGGGAUGGACGUGCUCCAGAGUCUCCAGAGCCCACGCCCCCGAGGCCGCGAGAGACGGGAAAUGCGUGCGCCUGGUAUGCUGACGGCCCUGCGUGGUGCUCCCUAAUUCUGAGGAACUGUCGUCCAAGCUCCUUCACGCUCACAUUGACAGCAUCUCCGUUCCCCAGGGUGGUUGGAAAAAUGAGCCGGAGUCCACCACGUCUCCUUCUCAGGGCUGGCCUUGCUGAAGUGUCCGUGGCAGUGUCGGCGCUCGGGGCCCGAAGGACAGGAGCAUCAAGGGGCUACUGACGGUGAGGGGUCACUCCGGGAGGUUCUCAUCUGGGAGUGAGCUAGGAGCAGAACCCCAUUGGAAAUAAGCGAGGCGGACGGUUCGCGCAGGACUGAAGCCAGGGCUCCAGCUUGGAUCCUGCUGGAACGGCCAAUGUAGAGGCCCCGUGGAGGGCAGGACAGUUGGGAGGAGCAGAGGGGUCCGCCUGGAAAGACCUUUGAGGCUCAGAGCCCGUGGCACUGGCUGGGACUGCAGGCCCCGUGAAGCAUCUGGCGUCUGCACCCGCUCACCAUGCCACCGUGCUGGGUGCUCAUGGCAUCAGUAACCGCACAGUGCGGCCCCACGGAGUACUUCCCGCACACCUGGCAGUCUGUGGGGUCACAUUCUCCAGAGCACGUUCGCCCGCGAGACAGCUGCUGAAGCAAGAGCUGUCUGGAACUAAGUAGAACACGGCUGACAGGUGCCCAGGAGCACGUCCGGAGCCCAAAGCCCCUCCAGCCCGUCACUGUCCCUUUGGUCCCACGUGGUCAGAGGUUCCAUUCACGUGUUUCUGGAGAGAAGGCAAAUGAGCAGCGUCUCUCGUGAAACUUUGUCCUUUUACUCAGAAAGGAAUGUGCUCACCAAAAUUUCUAUCUGUGCUCACGGACAGGAACCGGGGCGCGUGGCCGACGUGGCCACAGGGAGCCUGGGAAGGUGAGCCGUCAUCAGGAAGCAUGGCCGCCCCAACAAGCUCAGGGUCCUCUCAGAGAACAAGGGGGUAUGGUGGACAUGUGUUGGCUGAGGUGGCUGUCCCCACCGUCCUGGGAUGUGAUUACCAUUUUCAUAAUUUGACGGAGGAGGAGAUUAAGGGACAGGCAAGCCAGGUCAUUUCUUUCCUGAAGACUACAUAAUAGACGGGGAACCGUAUCUCUAUGAGACCAUAGGCAACCUGAGAGCAGGACUGUGUGUGUGUCCUUUGCCCUGUGUAGCUGUGACCCCAUCACCAGACAGAAUGUCACUUGGAUCAAUGCCUGAUCGAAUGCCUCGUUGAUGGCCCAGUAAAGUCCCGUGCAUGUCUCAGGCUUCCCCGUCCUCCCUCUCAGAGGAAAGAGUUCCAAAAGCCUCCCCAUGCCGGCAUGCAGUUCCUCUGGGCCCAGGCAGCGUGGGUGUGCCAAGAGGACCAGUUUCGGCCGACUGCCAGCCCAGCCACGUUCAGCUGAGCUCACCAGAACCAAACAAGGCCUGAAGUGUCUCAAGGAGUGUUUUUAACAAGUUGUAAAUAAUAUCUCACCAAGUCCCAUCGCUGCCUAGAAUUGAUGCAGCUGGUGAGAAGUAGUCAUGAUCCCGUGAAUCAUUUGUCCAUUUACAAGAACAUUUCAUUCACCUCCUUCCAGAAGGAUGCACAGAACACGCUUUAAAAGAAGGCGUAACUGGUACUGACAUAUGGGAAGGCUGUGUUGCAUUCCAAUUCCUCACUGGCUCAUGCGGUGUGUGCAAAAGAAGGGAUACUUGUAAUUACUGGGGAUUUUUUUUAAAAAAUACAGAUAAUUUGUCUUAAGAAGAAACAUGGGCAUCUGCAGAAUGAUGACUUUGUCUCCCCGUGGUCUGCUCUUGGGUUAGAAACAUGGCCGGUACCCUGCCAUGUGAUUGCUGGCUUCUGGCCCUGCUCUCUCACUCUCGAAGGAAGAGCGUAUGUCUCAGCCUCCUGCAGAACUACCCCGCUCUUGCCUCUUGUCGCCCCUGCUAAGGCUGAGCAUGGAUCUCCGUAUGUUGGCACAUGAACUAAGGAAUAAGCCUCUGGAAGAAAGUCAGAAUAUCUCUAAUGGGGAAGUCUUUCCUGCUACAGCAACCAUCCAUAUGACAGUUGGGCUUAAGGAGGAAGGGGGGGAGCUUGGAUGACCAGGGUUGCAUCAGCCCGCAAACUGAGCAGCCACGCCUCGUAACAAAGCAUCCCGACCCUCAGUGACUUGAGACAAAGGCUAUUCUCAUGACCAGGGCUCUGCGGGUUCACCUCACUACAGCUGAUCUGGGCUACCCUCAUUCUGGGGCGGGCGAGCGGGGCAUGGCUUUAGGCUCCUGAGUAGACUCGGGUCUUUUCCUCGGGUUUCUGCAGAGGCCAUAUCUGAAGUGGUGCCUCUGCCUGGUGCAUAACCUUCUCGGGGGAUCCCAGGAAUGCAAGCUUGCCCUCCAGGGCACAAGGACGUGGCAAGCCUCUGGAGGCAUUGCAUCAAGAAUAUCUCAUUAGCCCAGACAGGUCACAUGGUCCACCCAUAUGGACCACCAUGGUGCACCUCCCUCCCAAGGGCAGGGAGCAGAGCCUGGCCUUGGGGCUCUGGGGAUGGGGGAGGGGCUGUGGUGCCUGGGA